UUCUGAUGUCAUGUGUGAUGUCACAAAGAGGAUCUGCUUUAAGUCUUGGUAAAACCAGAAACAGUUAACAGACUGCAGCUCAGUAUUGUCAAGAUGGAUCUCCAUAACAGUUGAUGAAUAGUUUUAUUUGGGGGAUAUAUUAACUUUUACUAUUGAGGGAAAGUUUUAGAUUGGUUUGCCAGUUUGUACCCCAUCAGGUUGAGGCCAAUAGAUAUACAUUCACAACCCUGUACCCAUCAAAUAAUCAACUUUAUGUGUGACUUUGGGACUGAUUCAUACAGCCACAUUUCCUUUCCCCACUCUAUAGCAGCCUUUUCUCUGUAUUUGAAAAAAUAACCAAGAAGGAGAAGAUAAGGAACCAGGAUUAGGAUUUGGAUGAGUAGCAGCUAAGCUUUACAGGUGAGGGGGCUAGGAAGAGGGCUUUGUGGUCCAGCAUAGGAAUGAUGGGUGCUUCAUAUUAUUGAAUUCCUGUUCCACAAAGAAGACUUAGAGCUCAUUGCUCUCCAACUUUCAAGGCUCGCCAGGUUCUGGGAGAUGGAGGGUCUGGUAUGCUUUCUAGUGACAACGGGCGACAGGCCGCUAGGAACGAUGCUGCCACGAGUUUCUGGCGGUGCCCUCCCCCCCCCGGCCGUUCAUUAGGUGGGCGGGUAGCAGCGCCCCUCCUGGCGCUCAUCAUGCAAGCAGCAGGCGUCUAGCCCCAGCCCACGGGCCGGCUAGCCCCACCCCUGUGCCGCUCUGGGUGCUGGGGCAGGUAUCUCUGCCCUUGUCCAAAUGGCAGAUUGAAGUGCUUGCUUGGUAUGUAUAUAAUGGUUUGCUGCUUAGAAUAACAUCUUUAAUCUUCUCACUCACUUGUGUUUUAUAUUACUUCUGAAUCUCUUUUUAAAAGAACCACCUUGCAUUUGGCAAGACAAAGGGUAUGCUAAGGAAGACCUCCGUCUGUGGCUUUGGACAACCAUCUGCCCGAUUUCAUUUCAUUGAUUUCAUUGAUUCAGCCAGCGUGGUGUAAUAGUAAAGAGCGGUGGACUUGUAAUCUGGUGAACCGGGUUUGAUUCUCUGCUCCUCCACAUGCAGCUGCUGGGUGACCUUGGGCAAGUCAUACUUCUUCUGAAGUCUCUUAGCCUCACUCACCUCACAGGGUGUUUGUUGUGGGGGAGGAAGGGAAAGGAGAUUGUUAGCUGCAUGGAUCUGCCUCUAGGUUUGUGGCUUAGCUGUUCUCUUUCAGAGAUACCAUUUGAUUUAUUUGGUCAAUGUGGUCCCAGUUUUAAGCAGCCAUGGCCAUGCACUUCAUUGCAAUGUCACUGGGACAAUCACAUGUGGCCUUUACCUGUAAGGUCGACGCUCAUGCAGAGAAGCAUCUCUGCAGCAGUGCUGCCAAAGAGCAAACUUGGUGGUAGUCUUGUGUGAUUCCAGCCGCUUGCAAAUGAGCUGCCAACUAGUUUCAACUGGCCCUCCGGCUAUUUUAAUGACAUCCAGCCAAGCAUUUUAAGAUUUCCACACAGUGGCAGCAAUUAGCAGUGACUCCAAAUUGAUAAUGGAUGGUUUCAAACAUGCACUCCCUAAUAAUAAAUAAUAACAUUUUGCCUUCUUGUGUGCUUUACAUUUCUCUCCUCAUGCCCAACGUUCCCUUUGUGCAUGUGAUAAUUUAUUGCAUAUUUCAAAACAUUCAAAUUUCAUCUCUCUUGAAAUCAGUCCCAGAGCAAUAAUAAAAAAAAAAAGGUUCCAUUUUUAUGCGUAAAAUACAUGCAGCAAUGAAAGGCAUGUUAUGAAUCCAGGAGGUUGGAAACCAGGAGAUAAUGAGAUCUUGGGUAGAAACAACAAGAGCUAAAGGGGAUCCGUGCAUCUAGGAGUAAUGAAAUUAAUCGUAUUGCACAGAAACUUGGAGAAAAUUGCCACAAACAGAUCCAAGAGACAUUGACUUUAAGCAGAGAGGUCUCAAACUUUGUUGCAGCAAGAUGCUUUAAGAGGGGGAAAUGCACUUUUUCCUAAGCCAAUUGUAAAUAAAGGAAGACAAGAAAAAGCAACAACGAUUUCUUUUGGCAGAUGGGAAUCUAUUACCAGGAAUAGAGCCAGACCAAUAAAGCUCCAAAAUGAUGGGCCAAAACAAAAUGAUCAGCCAGGACCAGAAGGAUGGUCGCCAAAAUGCCCGGAGUAACAACUGAAUGGGUAAAUUUAAUCCUCGGCAUCUCCCGAAGAGGCCAAAUAGAUACAAAAUAGAGAUCCUCACCCGUCAAAAGUAGAAAAUAACUAAUUUCAGAGAAGAGUAGAAGGGUGUAAUGUUUUAGACAUAGGCAUUAGAAGGACAGGAUUAGAAAUUUAUAUAUUUCUGAGUCUGGACUCAGCUACCUUAGUCAAAAAACAACAUUUAAAUAUGCAACACCAGAUGCCGCUGUAGAGCAAAAAACAUUUUAUGUGAUUUUACAUAGAGUUUUUUCUUUUGUUAUAACGAUUUAAUUAAUGACUUAUUUAUAGUGUCGUCGUCCCCCCCCCCCCCCGUGUAUAGAUCCAGCCUCUGUCUCUUUAUGUGUGUCUCAUUUUCCUCUCUCUCUCUCUCUCUCUCUCUCAUAUAUCCUGUCUCUUUGAGAACAUGUGUGCAAGGCAAGAACAUGGUAUCUAGCAGAGCAGUCUAUCAUGGGAAAGGGGAUCUAUAAUGGGGCCAUUUUGUCCUUAAUUCAAUAAAGAAUUUAAGACUAAGCACUCUCAGAAUCCUCUUUCUAGGUGUGACGCACCUCCUGGCUUGAAGUGGUAUCUCUUUAUAUAUUUUUUAAAACCUCAACAGAAGACUGAGCUUCUAAUACUGUACAUCGUAACUCACCGGUGGGAUAGGAAAUAAAACAAAAGCCUAUAGGAAAUAAGUUGUGGAUUUGUAUAGCUAAGCAGCAUUCAGCUGGUUUAUAUUGUAAAUUUCCAAUGUUGUUUUAUCUCCUUGCUAUGUUCAUACACAGAUAUUACUUUUUUAUGUCCCCCAUACUUUAUUGUUUGCUUUUUUUCAUUACUAAAGAUUUCUGUGGAAGAUUUGAUAAAAUUCUCUGCUGCUUUUUUUUAUAAUAAAAUAUCUGCCUGUGGUUUUAAGAUUACAUUUAAUACUUAUUUCCUUGUGCUGUUUAUUGAAUAUAUCCAAACUCACUUGGAAGUGGGAAAAUGGAAGCAUUUGAUAUGAGAAAUCUCAUAGUAAGAGAGCACUCAAAACAUUGUAAAUAAAUAGGCCACACGGCCGAUCGCUUUGCUGUUGGCUCCAUAUUUGUAGUGUGUUAUACAGAUUGUCAUCGUUGAGUGUCAGAAUAUACCCCCCCCCCCGAUGCAGCUUUAAAAUCAUGUCACAGGCUCAAACGUUCACAUAGUGGGGCACAAUUUGAGCAGUGAUUUUUGCAGCUGAGAAGACAAUGCAGUGCAAAUGACCCAAAACAUUAUUGUGCGAUGUCAGUUGCCUUUGCAAAAGAAAUAUCCCCGGAGCACUGUACCCAUUGUUCAUGCAUUGUUAUUAAAACUAAAACUGAACGGAAGACUGCAACAAAUAAGUGCAUGCACGUGUGAGCGCACAUGCGCAGAGCUUGAAGGAAGUACACAGGCACAUCUGUCAGAAGUCCCAGUUCCCGUCUUGAUAACACAGCAAGCAUAGUUAAUUAAAAAGGAAGAUUUAAUACAAAAACAAACAGAGUUCUCCGGAUGGCUCUAACAAGCCACCAGUCUCAUCAAUCAUGAUGACCCUUCUGAAGACUCCUUCCGGUUACAGAAGAUACUGAACUUUUUCACUUUGCGCCUUUUGCCUUGUUCCAUGGUGCAUGGAAAGUACUAUACUGGAAAAGGUGCUAUGAACGGGAAUACUCAACACAGUGACAUUUUAUUUAAUGUCUCACUUCUUGCAAUCUAUUUUGCAUACCUCCUUUGAAAAAUGUGUGUCCUAGUUAAGCUAGGGUUGAUAUUUGAAAUGGAUGGUGGUGAUCAAUUUUUGUCCACCAACCUAAAUUCCAAUAUCUGAAUUUUCAAAGAGAGAUUCAUAGCCCUAAACAUUUUGCGAAUCUUUGUACUUUUGUCCAUUUAGUGUAUUUAUUUUUCCCAAUUUGAACUAUAAAAUGGUGAUUUUUCUUGAGUCAAAUGAGAGUACCCCUAAACAUUUUUUAGAAAAAAGCACUGACUCUAAUGAACUUUGGACAUGGAUGUUAGCUGCAGCUAGGAUUUCAAUAACCCAGCAAUGGAAAAUCUAGAGGCUCCAGAAUGCUUUUAUGUCAUCUGAUGGGGUCUUAUGUCAUCUGGUGGGGUCUUAUUUCCAUUUUUUUAAAAACUUUGCUGCUGAUUGCUCACCAUCCAUGCCAGUUCGGAAAAUAAGGAUUUCUUUAUUUAAGUUGAUGUGCCACCAUUUUCCCCCUCUUAUUACCUUUCAUCUAUUUCCUUUUUAUAUGGUACUAUGUAAAAUCCUGCUACCACACUUUUGGGUUGUUAGUAAUAGUCAUUAGGUUGCAAUGCAAUUUAGAAAGGACAAAAAUGAAGAGGAAGGGGAAAGCUGUCUUCAGCAUAACAGCAGAAAGGUCAAAUAUAAAUCUAACAAACAAAUGAUAGAGUAUUAUCUUAAAUAUGUGCAGCAGUGUUCAUUUUGAGGUCUCCGAUUUUACUCUUGAUAUCCCUCCUCACAGAAAUACCACAUACGGUACAUUUUCCAUGUCCUUCCCUUUUCACAAAAUUAUUAUCCUAAAUGUGUGUAGAAACAUAAGAAAGGCCUUGCUGCAGCCGACAAAAACUUCAUUUGGGUCAGAAUCACUCUUUUACUGUGGAUAACCAGAUGGCCAUGGGAAGCCCACAAGUUAAUAAUAAUAAUAAUAAUAAUAAUAAUAAUAAUAAUAAUAAUUUGUACCCCACCCAUUUUGCUGGGUUUCCUCAGCCACUCUGGGUGGCUCCCAACAGAAUGGUGGUGUUGAUGACGUUGUUGUUAUCAUUAUUAUUAUUAAAGCGAUAAAACAUCAAAGAUGAAAAAAUUCCCUAAACAGGGCUGCAACAGUACUCUUCCAUCUUCAGCUCCCCAGCAAAUGCAUUUCAAAAUUAUCAAAGGGGAAAUUAAAUUGUUGCAGAAAAUGGUUCCCUUAAACAAAAUAAGUGGGUCUGCCAAGGUCGGGCACCAAUUAACAAUUAACAACAACAACAAGGCCUAGAACUUGGGUCUCUUGUCAUCACUAUUUGCCUCAGUUCCUCAGACUUCACCCUGAUAAAAUUAGUUCAGGCAAGUGGAUCUUCCCUACAUGUUCCACUUGGAAGAAAGGGGGCAUCAAAUUCAAUCAGCUUCUCUAAGUCUCCUGCACUAAAUUUCAUUUUGAUACCUCAUUGUCCAACACUAACUGUUAUGGACAGUCUAAAAACAUAAGAAGAGCCUGCUGGGUCAGGCCAAUGGCCAAUCCAAAUGAGGAUCCACUUUUCACAGUGGCCAACCAAAUGUCUGCGGGAAACUUUAAAGCAGGAUCUGAGCACAAGAUCAUUUUCUUCCUUUUGUAGUUUCCAGCUGCUGGUCUUCAGAAGCAUUAUGAGCCUAACCAUCAUGGAUGGGAGCCAUUCAUAGCCUUUGCUGUCAUGACUUCAUUAAUUCUUUUUUAUGCAUGAAUUAGGCCCAAGUUUUGGGUUCAGCUUAGCAUUGUUCAUGCCUGUCAAUGAUGAGUAUUAAGUUUAGAAUGGAUGGUGCACCGAGUCAUCUAAGGAAUGAUAUAAAUACACCUAUGACAGAAAACAGAAUUUCCCUUCCUCCUGGAUUAUGCAGUGACGUCUAUAUGAGCGGAUUUUAAAUAUUCAAAUGUUUCUUUGAUUUACUGCUUUCUGAACUUUUUAAAAUGAAAUAUGAAUGUGCUUUUAUCUGUCACCCCAAUAGUGUCAACAUUUAUUUUUGAUAUUUAUUUACAUCAAUAUUUCUAUUCUUCCUUGGAUAACAUUUCACUGCCUUUUGUUGUUUAUAGACCCUUCUUUGAACAAGGAUUGCAUCUGUUGGAACUCACAAUAAGUUAUAUAUCAGGAUUGGACAUAAAACGAGUCCUCUCAAUCCUUCAGCCAUUAACUUUGUCUACAUCAGGCUUCCUCAACCUCGGCCCUUCAGAUUUCUUUUGGCCUACAACUCCCAUGAUCCCUAGCUAGCAGGACCAGUGGUCAGGGAUGAUGGGAAUUGUAGUCUCAAAACAUCUGGAGGACUGAGGUUGAGGAAACCUGGUCUAUACCUAUUUUCAUAUUGUUUCUUAUCUAAUACUGCUGCUCAACAUAUUUUGCAGCCAUACAGGGGAAACUCUAACUGGAGUUGGUGUAACAAGUAGGCCUGGAUUGAGUCUGGUGCCAUCAAGUAAUGACAGUAAUGCCAGCUUGGGAUCUGGUGGGUCUCUGGUUGAUUCAACACCUCCCCUGCCUAUGGAACACCCCAUUUGGGAAAAUUAUGUGGGGUACUGCCAAUGAGAAUUGUGUUUGUGGCUGAAAUAGAGAGUUCUUCGCAGGAGGUGUGAUGUUGGCAUCCCUCUACAGGUGGAGAGUGGUGGACCUGUUUUGGUCCACCCUGAGGGACAUGUGUGCCUCAUCCAGCCCUGCCUCUGAUGCAUAAUAGAGAAGAACUUUGAAUGCAGCUUAACACUGUUAGAUGCAAUUUCUUUUGAAAUACGUCUUAUUUUGAUUUCCUUCCAGCUAAUGCCAAAAUUAGUGUUUGCUCUCAUGUUUCGGGUUGUUUUUUUUGUUGUUGUUUCUAAAAUGUGUUCUGUUUUGCAAAGAAGAACUGUUUUGCUAAAGGCAUUACAGUAGAUAUUACAACUAAUAGUGAAAUGGCUUUCUUAUUAAUUCUGAGAUGUCCUCAUUACAUUUCCUGGAUAUUUAAAAGGCAGCGAGGGAUUUCAUUAUGCAGACGGAGCUUCUAGCUGCUCAGGUGAUGGUUCUUUGAAUUAGAUAUUUGAAUUUUGUUUGGGGAGUUGAAUAAUGUGUCUUACCCUUCUAAUUAUAUACCAAUAAAUCAAGCCUGGCAGAUUCUCAAUUCUUGUCAUGUCAGGAACAAUUCUGGAAAAUAUUAAGGGAGAAAGGCAAAUAUCUCGGCACUUCUUUAGUGAUUUAGAAAGAGUGAAAACAAGAUAUAAUUCCUCACUGCAUGUUUUUAUUAAUAUGUGUUUUUUUCUGUGCUGUUCACCAAUUUAGGACAUGAGAUUUGACUUUCACUUGUGCACUGUGCUGACAUAACCCUACCCAUCAGCAUCAUGGUAGCUGACUGCUGCCAAAUCCCAGACAACCUGUGAGCUGGAGUCUGCAAUCAUGUAUCCACUCCUACAGGAAGAUAUGGCCCUCUAGAUUGGUAUUGAAUGGCAACUUCGAUCAGUUCCAGCUAGUAAGGGAAAUGGUCAAGGAUGGAGGACGGUGGAGCCCAGCAACACCUAGAGGGACUCAGG